rnacentral:rRNA from 1 species
UGGGCGUCGAGCGGCGGACGGGUGAGUAAUGCCUAGGAAAUUGCCUUGAUGUGGGGGAUAACCAUUGGAAACGAUGGCUAAUACCGCAUAAUGCCUACGGGCCAAAGAGGGGGAUCUUCGGACCUCUCGCGUCAAGAUAUGCCUAGGUGGGAUUAGCUAGUUGGUGAGGUAAUGGCUCACCAAGGCGACGAUCCCUAGCUGGUCUGAGAGGAUGAUCAGCCACACUGGAACUGAGACACGGUCCAGACUCCUACGGGAGGCAGCAGUGGGGAAUAUUGCACAAUGGGCGAAAGCCUGAUGCAGCCAUGCCGCGUGUAUGAAGAAGGCCUUCGGGUUGUAAAGUACUUUCAGUUGUGAGGAAGGGGGUAACGUUAAUAGCGUUAUCUCUUGACGUUAGCAACAGAAGAAGCACCGGCUAACUCCGUGCCAGCAGCCGCGGUAAUACGGAGGGUGCGAGCGUUAAUCGGAAUUACUGGGCGUAAAGCGCAUGCAGGUGGUUCAUUAAGUCAGAUGUGAAAGCCCGGGGCUCAACCUCGGAACUGCAUUUGAAACUGGUGAACUAGAGUGCUGUAGAGGGGGGUAGAAUUUCAGGUGUAGCGGUG